rnacentral:misc_RNA from 1 species
GUGAAUCAUCGAAUCUUUGAACGCACAUUGCACCUCCCGCAGGGGAGGUAUGCCUGUCUGAGCGUCAUUGAAACCAAUAAACCCUCCUGGGUUUGUGCUGGGCUCUGCAUGAAUGUGCACUGCCUCAAAGUCAUGGUCUAACCUGCGGACGAGCUCCUCUUGGACCUGCCGUGGAACCGACCCUUCUCUCUGUAUUUGACCUCAGAUCAGGUAGGAAGACCGCCUGAACUUAAGCAUAUCAAUAAGCGGAGGA